CAAGCGUGCAUCCUCAGAGCCAGGAUAAACACUCCGUUACUCUCCCUCUAAACUGCUCUUCUGGGAGGGAGAGAAAAUAAAUAGGGGGAGAGAGAGAGGCAUUUGAAGUAACCUUUUUAAGGAGGAGGCAGCAGCCAAUAGAACCUUUUUCUUUUCUUUUUUUUUUUUCCUUCCACUUCUUACUAGAGAAAUUCGUGUUAUCUCAGCAAUUAAGGAGAAGAGCCAGCGUCUAGGGUUCCAGACUGUGAGGGGAAGUAGCAACUUGUACCAGGGUGACAACACAGACCUGUCUAUCUUGGACCACUCCUUGCAUGUCCUCUUCACGAGUUCCAUUGUUUUCCCUGAAAUUCUGCAAAUAUAUUCUGUUGAUUCGGAGAGCUUUGAUGAUUCGGGCAGUCCUCGGUGGCUGUAGCAGGGAGCUGCAGCUGACUCUGAGCUGUUUCCCCCCAGGUGCUCUGCCCGGGCCAUCUCCAGCCCUUUAAGAAAAACAAAUGGAGAAAAGCUCCAGGACUCACGGCACCUGCAGCGGGCUCAGGGCUUUGAGGGGCUUGUGCAGAGCCCCCCGCACAGCAUGGGACAGUGGGGGCAGUUGGGAUCGCCCCUCUGCCAGCA